AUGAGCAUUUUUGAGCACGCAGAACACAUCGGCUCAGCCUGGAGCCAGCAGUUAGAGCGCGAACACACACACACACACACACACACACACACACACACACACACGCAGGCACGCACGCGGAGCAGUGCUUUCCUCUCAAGUGAGGCGGCAUUAGCAACUGCAGUUCCAGCUUCCUCAGCUGAGCUCCCGGCGGCCACUGCCUGCCUGAUUUGUCGGAGGAGCGCUAGAGUCCAGUUUCUGAGGGAUCCGGUAACAUGUAGCUGUCACAGCUGGUGGCAGACAGCCACUUCUUUCCAGCUGCUUCGCAGCCCUGGCAAGAGGACACCCUCUUCCAAAAUUCACGCUGCCUGGGGAGGAGGCUGCUCAGUGCAGAUUUCUUUGCAGGGUAGAGAAAAGGAUAACUCUGGAUACACUUUUUGUCCUGAACAAAGGAGACAGCACAGACAUCUUCAGACAAGUCCCACAUCUCCAAUAUUGCAGGAGGAAGCUUUACCUGUUCCACCUCAACACUUGCCCUGCACCCAUUUCUUUUCUGACAAGGAUGUGUCCUGCAAUUGCAAAGCUGACUCCUAAGGCUGGCAUUGUGGCAUAGAAGGAAAAGCUGUCGCCUGCAACACUGGCAUGCCUUAUGGAUGCUGGUUUGGGUCUGGGCUGCUCCGCCUUUGAUCUAGCUCCCUAGCAAUGGACUGGAAAAAGCAGCUGAGGAUGGUCCAUGUGUUUAGGUCCUUGCACCCACGUGAGAGACCCAGAUGAAGCUCCUCGCUCCUGGUUUCACCUUGGCCAAGCUGUAGCUAUUGCAGCCACCUGGGGAAUAAACCAGCAGAUGGAAGAUCUCUUUCUCUGUCU
rnacentral:lncRNA from 1 species